rnacentral:lncRNA from 1 species
AUCCAGCGUGCAGUCAGCCCCUUUCCUGAAGGCUCACACGCUGCCGCAUCAGUGCUUCUCACUGGGGAGCUGACAAGGGUCAUAACCUCAUUCUUUUUCUCCCUCUUCACCUGCUCCAGGCUGCCAAAGGAAGGAAGUGGAAUUCUGGGCAGUUUGGAGGUUUUGAAGACAACCUUGCAAUGCUCAACGGUUCCUGAGCAGCCUGCUCUAAAUCGUCUUGAAGCAAGCUCAGCCUUCAGAAGGAGUCUGAAGAGAUUCAUGGAGGCCGGCAAUGGCACUGUUCCUGGGGAAGACUGGAGAAGGAAAGCUCAAAAUUACCCAUAUAAACAGCUCCUGAGGAACGAAUGGCUAACGAAAGGAAGAAGCUGUCUUGAGCGUUUGCAGUGCCAUGAUGUUCUGCCAUCCAAAAGGGAAUUAAUCGCUGAGUGGCAUGAAGAGCGCACAGCAGAGACAGCAGGCAUGGUCCAGACCUCAGGGGACUAAUUACAUCCUUAAAGGGCCGCCCAUCCCAUCCUGCUUCCCAGCCAGACCCCAGCUGUGUGCGCACCGGGAAAGCCAAUAUGAAAGGUCUUCACAAACAAGCUCUAAGAAUGUAAAACUGAUACCUGGAGGUACAG